GGUUAAGCGACUAAGCGUACACGGUGGAUGCCCUGGCAGUCAGAGGCGAUGAAGGACGUGCUAAUCUGCGAUAAGCGUCGGUGAGGUGAUAUGAACCGUUAUAACCGGCGAUUUCCGAAUGGGGAAACCCAGUGUGUUUCGACACACUAUCAUUAACUGAAUCCAUAGGUUAAUGAGGCGAACCGGGGGAACUGAAACAUCUAAGUACCCCGAGGAAAAGAAAUCAACCGAGAUUCCCCCAGUAGCGGCGAGCGAACGGGGAGGAGCCCAGAGCCUGAAUCAGUGUGUGUGUUAGUGGAAGCGUCUGGAAAGGCGUGCGAUACAGGGUGACAGCCCCGUACACAAAAAUGCACAUAUUGUGAGCUCGAUGAGUAGGGCGGGACACGUGGUAUCCUGUCUGAAUAUGGGGGGACCAUCCUCCAAGGCUAAAUACUCCUGACUGACCGAUAGUGAACCAGUACCGUGAGGGAAAGGCGAAAAGAACCCCGGCGAGGGGAGUGAAAAAGAACCUGAAACCGUGUACGUACAAGCAGUGGGAGCCUCUUAAUGGGGUGACUGCGUACCUUUUGUAUAAUGGGUCAGCGACUUAUAUUCUGUAGCAAGGUUAACCGAAUAGGGGAGCCGAAGGGAAACCGAGUCUUAACUGGGCGUUAAGUUGCAGGGUAUAGACCCGAAACCCGGUGAUCUAGCCAUGGGCAGGUUGAAGGUUGGGUAACACUAACUGGAGGACCGAACCGACUAAUGUUGAAAAAUUAGCGGAUGACUUGUGGCUGGGGGUGAAAGGCCAAUCAAACCGGGAGAUAGCUGGUUCUCCCCGAAAGCUAUUUAGGUAGCGCCUCGUGAAUUCAUCUCCGGGGGUAGAGCACUGUU
rnacentral:rRNA from 1 species